GAUUCGUUAAUUCUAGAAGAGCAACAAUAUAUACAAUAGACAUAACCUCUAGGAAGAUUCUUUGAUUAAAAGAGAUAUGAAACUCACAUUUGAUGACUUGACUGAAAUAAAAUUAAUAAAUGUAAUUGACAAAUAGUGUUUUAUCAUCACUUACCCAUAUUUUCAGUUAAAUGGUGAUGAGAGAAAGAUCGAGGAGGACUCUGGUCAAUAAAACAAUCAAUUAACGAGUUACGUAAAACACGACGCUGAGCACACACCGCACACACACAUAGGAACAGGAAUGGUGUCAGUAACCGGCCGGUACUGCUUGACCAAUCGCGAACACCGUAUGCAACGACACGUGGAGAAUUAUGUAGAUGAGUCUUUUCACUCUCUCUUUGCAAUUGAAUCAUGAGAAAUAAACGUUAAAAUUAUUAUCCAUCAGAACUGUGGCUCAAUGCUACACAAGUGCAGAAAAAAAGGAUGAAUUUGAUCGACAAUUUUUACAAGUGUUUUGACAAAAUAUCAGAUUCACAAAAUCAAAAAAUAAGACAUUGCAGACAGAAUUCGCUGGAGUGUUCCACAGACACACAUGCAUAGCUCUGAAUUGAUGUGAUGGGACUGUGGAACCAUCAAAUAAAAGAACGAGUACUUGCAUACGGCAUGUUAUCUGCCAGUUCAGACAUUCACUCGUGUAGUACCUGUACACCCCAGCAGAUCGUUCCGAAAUAGCUUCAAGUGUAAUUAAUCAAAGUUGCUGAUUAUUGUUUAGUGUUUACUUCGUUUAUCAGAUUUUAAACUUCAACAAUCAUCACCACGAAAACUGCAAGAUGUUCCCAUCUGAAUCAUCCAGUUCAGAAGCUGGUAGCAAUGGAGAACGCAGUGCUGCAGCGCAAUCUGCAUUGGAGAAAAGCACUGCUAAUGGUCAAAGGAUCUGGAUGAAAUUUAAUGCAUUGGAGAUGAACGUGAAGGAAGCAAUCGUGAGGAUGAAACAGUUCAACAAGAACUUGACGAAGACCAGAAACUUCCUGAAUGAAUUGAUGAUACACACAUGAAUGGAAUAAAAGUCAACAUUAUAUAUUUAAAAGUUUCAA